GAUGAACGCUGGCGGCGUGCCUAAUACAUGCAAGUCGAGCGAACGGACGAGAAGCUUGCUUCUCUGAUGUUAGCGGCGGACGGGUGAGUAACACGUGGAUAACCUACCUAUAAGACUGGGAUAACUUCGGGAAACCGGAGCUAAUACCAGAUAAUAUUUUGAACCGCAUGGUUCAAAAGUAAAAGACGGUCUUGCUGUCACUUAUAGAUGGAUCCGCGCUGCAUUAGCUAGUUGGUAAGGUAACGGCUUACCAAGGCAACGAUGCAUAGCCGACCUGAGAGGGUGAUCGGCCACACUGGAACUGAGACACGGUCCAGACUCCUACGGGAGGCAGCAGUAGGGAAUCUUCCGCAAUGGGCGAAAGCCUGACGGAGCAACGCCGCGUGAGUGAUGAAGGUCUUCGGAUCGUAAAACUCUGUUAUUAGGGAAGAACAUAUGUGUAAGUAACUGUGCACAUCUUGACGGUACCUAAUCAGAAAGCCACGGCUAACUACGUG
rnacentral:rRNA from 1 species